CAGCCGGUCAGCGUUGUUGGCUCCCUGCUUCCUUGGCGUCCUCAAGCCGGCACCGGGGCCCUGAUGUGCAGCGCUCGGGAAGCAGCGAGGUGGGCGGCUCAGUCGCAGCAGCAGGUACCUUAGGGACGAGAAAAAAUAUGUAAAAGGACGUCUUGCUACAAGAGGAGUUGUGCUCAUUCCAAGACAAUGCAUUUAGAAAUUUUACUCUUACUGUAGCUAUUUGAACCGUUGCAGAGAUUAAUAAAAAAUGUUUCUCUAAAAAGAGAAAAAAAAUCAAACUUUACGGGAAGCUGAAGUUUAGAUCUA